CCCGAGUAGCAGUCACAGAGAGGGGCCUUCGCUAAGCUGCUUUCAAUCCAGAUUAGGGUGAGCCACAAGAAAAAUUCUUCAGAGAUACGAGUCGUGGGCGUAAAACAGCAGCUGUUGUGUAGCUCACACAAGUUCUUGCUAAUCUGCUGGUUUUUAAACUCGUGAUCUGACUUGUCUGAGAGCAUGCCUUGUGGACUUCAAGCCCCAGCAUGAGAUCCAGUGAUAACAGCCUUGCAGAGACUACUUCCAACCUCCACAAUUGUAUAAGCCAGGUCCCCGUAACAAAUCUCAUACUGGUUCUGCUUCCCUGGUUGAAAUUUGAAUACAGUCACUCUAUUGACCAGGACGACCCUGUUGCAGUACAUGGUUGUCUGCAGUCACCUGGCUGGUAGAUUCCUCCAAAUCUAGGGGGAAGGACUAAAGGGCCCCCAAGAGGCUAUAGUGAUGAUGUGAUAAUUAAUUUUAUGUGUCAACUUGAGUGGGCUGAAGGAUGCCCAGAAAGGUGGUAAAACAUUAUUUGGGAGGGUAUCUAUGAAGGUGUUUCAAGAAGAAAUUAGCAUCAAAAUCUGUAGACAGAGUAAAGAAGAUCUGCCCUCCCCAGUGUGGGUAGGCAUCAUUCCAUCACUUGAUGGUGCAGAAAAGGUAAAAAGGUGGAAGAAGGGCAAAUUCUCUCUCUUUUUCAGCUGAGACAUCCACCUUCUGCAGAAAGGCAUAGGAGCUCCCGGCUCUCAAGCCUUCAGACUCUGGAACUUUUACCAGUGGCCUCCCAGUUCUCAGGACUGUGGACUUGAUCUGAAUUACACCACUGGCUUUCCUGGUUUUCCAGCUGCAGAUGGCAGAUCAUGGGACUUAUUCCCAUGUGAGCCAAUUCCCAUAUUAAACCUCCUCUCCUGCCUCUCUAUAUAUCCUAUAGUUUCUGUUUUUCUGAAGAAUCCUGACUAUACCAACAACUUGGAAACUUAGAAGUAACAGGUAAUAACAAUGAUGCUGCGGAUACAAACAUGACAGGUACACAGCAUGUACUAAAUGUAGGGUCCCAGUACUACAGACUCAUUUUUUUCUCACCAACCACCCUAUAAAAUAGGUACUGUUAUUUUAUCUCCCUCUAUACUCUGAGGCACACAUAGCUGAAAUAACUCGCCAGUAAGUAGAAAGCCAAAAUUAAACUCAGGUACUCUGGCUCCAGAAUCUGUGCUCUUCAAUACUAUUGCACCAUUCCAAAUCAACCUAAAUGUAAUGCUUUCCAUCCUCUGGCUACCCUGACUUUUAGAAAUUUUUCACAACAGAAAAAUAGUGUGCUAGCCUGUGACAGUGCAGCCAGGAAACUUCUGUUCUGGUCCUGAUUUCACCACUGACUGGCUGUUGUUAAAGCAAACUAAGUAUGGCCUGAGAAGGACCGCAUACUUCUGUAUCUGAGUGAUUGUGGAUGAACUGUAACCUAGCUUAACAGGCAGACUAAUAGGCCUAAUAACAGGCGAAUAGACUAAUAGGCCAAGCUCUAACCAAUCCAGCCAUCUGUUCCUCACUUCCAAUUUCUGUACGUCACUUCCCUUUUUUUUUCCCUUCUACCAUGUGGCUGCGCUGGAGUCUCUGUGAAUCUGCUGUGAUAGUGGGGGCUGCCCGAUUCGUGAAUCAUUCAUUGUUCAAUUAAACACCUUUAAAUUUAACCUGGGUGAAGCUUUUCUUUUAUCACUGUGUAGCAUUGGGCAGGUCAGGCUAACUUCCUUACUUGUAAAAUGAUCUCAGUGCCUUCUUCCAGCUAUAAAAGUUCACAAUUCUAUGGUGUUAAAGUUCUGAUUAUGAUGUUAAAAGAUCCUUGGAAAAAAGCUGCUCUGUACAAUAAAAUUAGGUAAUAAAACCUACAACUGUAUAUUUGACUUCCUUGCAUUUAUUUUUCAGCCUCUUCCUACCUCAAAAAUUAUUCUGUAGCUCCCUAGGUAAUUAUAAUAGUGAUUUUUUACCCUUUCCAAUUGUGAGGACCCUGUUAAUCACACACAUGCAAAAAGAGUUGUGAAAUUCCAUAGAAGAAAAAUAUAAAAUUGUAAGUUGAGAAAAAAUACGAUAGAAAGACAUGUUACACUUGAUAAUGCUUUUAAGUAAAGUUAAAUUUCACUAAUUAUAACAACAUCUAGAGACAUUUGAAAAAGAGUGCAUAUUCACCGUACAGGAAAAACUUUAUGGAGUUACUGACCUACAGGAUUCUUAACAGUUACCUCUUGGUUCUCAGUUCCCACUCAGGGCGCUCCUCACUGGUAAUCACCUAUUACAAUUGUAUGCAACUUGUUAAAUGUAACUAUGCUAAAAAUCAAUAUAUGCUGAAAGCCAAAAGGAGGACUGUUUUAUAUGCCACAGCUUUAUUUUCUUUAGACUUUACUGCCUAUUUUUGUGUUGUUUUGUUUGUUUCUUUCAUGGUUUUUAAAUUGACAGAUUUUUGGUAAGUAUUAUAAAAGUUUCUGAUCUGGAGAAGUAUCACUCCUCUUUGUUUUUCUUUUCUUUUCUUUUUUUUGUGUGUGGGUGUGUGUAUCUUCAUUGUCAUUUAGCGAAAGUUCCCCUAAUUGUUAAAAAGCCAAGAGUAAGCAUCAAGUUAGAGACAGGGAAAAAGUACAGAGUGAAAAGCAAUUUUAAAAAUUGCAUAAUCAGUCUAAGAAGAGUAGAACUGGCCACUUUUAAAGGCCAAAGUCCAAACAAGGUCUUUAAGAAUUUGGUAACACCAAUGGCACUCACCAGAUGGGUUAAGGCAACACUGCAAUGGGAAAGGUGACAACUGCUCAGUAGAAGGCAGACAUCAUGUAAACAGUCGUACUAGCUGUUUUCUUGUGUCUGAGUCUAUGCCUAGAAGGGGUUUACUUUUUCCACAAAAGGGGAAACAUACUAUGAUACCCCUGAAUAUACAUCCUAGAACUCACUGCUUAAAGAACACAUAGAAAAAAACAAGGUCAUGCAACCAUCCCUAGGAAGUUACCAAAAUUCAUUCUUAGUUCCCAUCUGGGGGCAACCCUGAUGAGAUACUGCAAGGGAAGAAAAGAAGAUUAAAGGUAAACAGGCGUAGUUCAAUAUCAACACUUUAGGCAAAUCUUUCCUGAUUAUCCU
rnacentral:lncRNA from 10 species